CGGUUGCCCAGGGUAUUUCCUGGGGCAGAGCUCAAGAGUUGAAAGUCCACAGCUUGGGGGUGAAAAGGUUGAAUGUAGGAAUUCGACUACAGACAGACACUAGAUAAACUUGUAUGUGUUCAUCAAUUGAGGACUCGUUUUCAAUACCCUGGAGGAACCCAUUGCUUAAAAGGAACAUGGCAAGAAACCCCUUUGCAUUGUAACAUUGAUUGGGUAUUUGAUUAUUUUUAUGGCUGGUGCAUUUUUAUUUCAAUAAGAUGAUUUGUGCUAAUUCCUGAAAAUAUUUUUGCAAUGUGAUUUAUGAGAGUUAAAGUCAGCUCUGAAUACUGGAUUUUGGAUAAGCUGACAGCAAUGCAGUCUGAUAACAUGUGACUACGCCUAUUCUCUAGUAGCCCCAGGC